rnacentral:rRNA from 2 species
UGUCUCAAAGAUUAAGCCAUGCAUGUCUAAGUAUAAGCAAUUAUACAGCGAAACUGCGAAUGGCUCAUUAAAUCAGUUAUCGUUUAUUUGAUAGUACCUUACUACAUGGAUAACCGUGGUAAUUCUAGAGCUAAUACAUGCUAAAAAUCCCGACUUCGGAAGGGAUGUAUUUAUUAGAUUAAAAACCAAUGCCCUUCGGGGCUCUCUGGUGAUUCAUAAUAACUUCUCGAAUCGCACGGCCUUGCGCCGGCGAUGGUUCAUUCAAAUUUCUGCCCUAUCAACUUUCGACGGCUGGGUAUUGGCCAGCCGUGGUGACAACGGGUAACGGAGGGUUAGGGCUCGACCCCGGAGAAGGAGCCUGAGAAACGGCUACUACAUCCAAGGAAGGCAGCAGGCGCGCAAAUUACCCAAUCCCGACACGGGGAGGUAGUGACAAUAAAUACUGAUACAGGGCUCUUUUGGGUCUUGUAAUUGGAAUGAGUACAAUUUAAAUCCCUUAACGAGGAACAAUUGGAGGGCAAGUCUGGUGCCAGCAGCCGCGGUAAUUCCAGCUCCAAUAGCGUAUAUUAAAGUUGUUGAGGUUAAAAAGCUCGUAGUUGAACCUUGGGCCUAGCCGGCCGGUCCGCCUCACCGCGUGCACUGGCUCGGCUGGGUCUUUCCUUCUGGAGAACCGCAUGCCCUUCACUGGGUGUGCCGGGGAACCAGGACUUUUACUCUGAACAAAUUAGAUCGCUUAAAGAAGGCCUAUGCUCGAAUACAUUAGCAUGGAAUAAUAGAAUAGGACGUGUGGUUCUAUUUUGUUGG